rnacentral:rRNA from 1 species
UACGUAGGUGUCGAGCGUUGUCCGGAUUUAUUGGGCGUAAAGCGCGCGCAGGCGGCCUCGCGCGCCCGACGUGAAAGCCCCCGGCUUAACCGGGGAGAGUCGUUGGGGACGGCGGGGCUUGAGGGCGGGAGAGGUCGGUGGAAUUCCCGGUGUAGUGGUGAAAUGCGUAGAGAUCGGGAGGAACACCUGUGGCGAAGGCGGCCGACUGGGCCGACCCUGACGCUGAGGCGCGAAGGCGUGGGGAGCGAACGGG